UACGGAGGGUGCAAGCGUUGUUCGGAUUUACUGGGCGUAAAGGGCGUGUAGGCGGUUGGCCAAGUCGGGUGUGAAAUCCUGGGGCUCACCCCCAGAAGUGCGUCCGAAACUAGCCAGCUAGAGCGCGAUAGAGGAGGGUGGAAUUCCUGGUGUAGCGGUGAAAUGCGUAGAUAUCAGGAGGAACACCGGCGGCGAAGGCGGCCCUCUGGAUCGUUGCUGACGCUGAGACGCGAAAGCGUGGGGAGCAAACAGG
rnacentral:rRNA from 1 species